UCUUAUGGAUGAGCAAAGGAAGUAGUUUCCUGAGAUGGAAUCUACUGCCAAAGAUGCUGUGAA
rnacentral:pre_miRNA from 1 species